AUGGCAAAAAAGGUGGAUGGGCUUGCUUGUUUGGAUGGCAUGGUGUUCUUCCUUGAAUUUGCUUGGCAUGAAGUCCCCAGGUCAGCUUGUUGGGGUCAGCAAUUGGUUGCAAAGUUGGGUUAUAUUCUCUUUGGCUUACUCGGGGUCGAGAAACAGAGCAGAGGCCUGCUUGUAAUUUUUUUUUUCCUGCAACUUGCUUCAAAGAAGAUCUUUGGAAGAAGCAGACUGAAGAUGAGAAGGAAGAGGCCAAGCGAGAGGCUGGAAGAGAUACAUACAGCUUAUUUUCCUCCAGAUAA
rnacentral:lncRNA from 1 species